rnacentral:rRNA from 1 species
UACAGAGGUCUCAAGCGUUGUUCGGAUUCAUUGGGCGUAAAGGGAGCGUAGGUGGCGCUGUAAGUCAGGUGUGAAAUCCCGGGGCUCAACCCCGGAACUGCACUUGAUACUGCGGUGCUCGAGUACUGGAGAGGAGAUCGGAAUUUACGGUGUAGCAGUGAAAUGCGUAGAUAUCGUAAGGAAGACAAGUGGCGAAGGCGGAUCUCUGGACAGUUACUGACACUGAGGCUCGAAGGCCAGGGGAGCAAACGGG